CAUACAGAGUCAACAGGAACACAGUCCUCAUUCAAGCUCCCCACAGACUCCUGGAGGGAGUAUGUUACCUUCUGCCUACUUGCUCCAGGUGCUGGCCAGCGCCAUUGUCCUGACCCAGACUAGCUCACACUCGCUGCGGUAUUUCCACACUGCCGUGUCCCGGCCCGGCCUCGGGGAGCCCCGGUUCAUAGUCGUCGGCUAUGUGGACAACACGCAGUUCGUGCGACGCGGAGAAUCCGUGGAUGGAGCCGCGCGUGCAGUGGUUGGAGCAAGAGAGGCAGAAUUGUGAGGAGGAGACACAGAAAGCCAAGGGUCACUAGCAGUGGUUCCAAGUGAACCUGAGGACCCUGCUCCGCUACUACAACCAGAGCAAGGGCAAAUCUCACACACUGCAGUGGAUGUAUGGCUGCGACGUGGGGCCCAAUGGGCGCCUGCUCCGCGGGUAUUGUCAGGAGGCCUAAGAUGGCUGCGAUUACCUCUUGCUGAACAAGGACCUGAGUUCCUGGACUGCUACUGACAUGGCCUCACAAAUCUCUAAGUACAAGUCCAAGGAGGCUGAUGAGGCCGACCACCGGAGGGCAUACCUGCAAGGUUCUUACAUGGAGUGGCUACUAAUAUACCUACAGUUGGGAAAGGAGACUCUGCUGAGCUCAGAUCCCCCAAAGGCACAUGUGACCUAUCACCCCAGAUUUGAAGGUGAUGUCACCCUGAGGUGCUGGGCCCUGGGUUUCUACCCUGCUGACAUCACCCUGACCUGGCAGUUGAGUGGGGAGGAGCUGACCCAAGACAUGGGGCUUGUGGAGACCAGGCCUUCAGGGGAUGGAACCUUCCAGAAGUGGGCAGCUGUGGUGGUGCCUCUUGGGAAGGAGCAGAAAUACACAUGCCAAGUGCAACAUGAGGGGCUGUCUGAGCCCCUCACCCUGACAUGGGAGCCUCCUCCAUCCACCAACUCUACCAUGGUGAACACUACUGUCCUGGUUGUCCUUGGAGUUGUGGCCAUCAUUGGAGCUGUGGUGGCUUUUGUGAUGAAGAAGAGGAGAGACCCAGGUAGGAAUGGAGCCAGUGACACUGUACUUGUCAUCCACAGAGAUGUCACAGCUAAGGACCGAUGA